rnacentral:rRNA from 1 species
AAAUACCAGAAACCCGAUCCCAGUCCUGAUUGCAGUCUGCAACUCGACUGCAUGAAGUCGGAAUCGCUAGUAAUCGCAGAUCAGCAUUGCUGCGGUGAAUACGUUCCCGGGCCUUGUACACACCGCCCGUCACACCAUGGGAGUUGGUUGCUCCAGAAGCAGGUAGUCUAACCGCAAGGGGGACGCUUGCCACGGAGUGGUCAAUGACUGGGGUGAAGUCGUAACAAGGUAACCGUAA